UACGUAGGGUGCAAGCGUUGUCCGGAAUUAUUGGGCGUAAAGAGCGUGUAGGCGGCCAUGCAGGUCCGUUGUGAAAACUCGAGGCUCAACCUCGAGACGUCGAUGGAAACCGCAUGGCUAGAGUCCGGAAGAGGAGAGUGGAAUUCCUGGUGUAGCGGUGAAAUGCGCAGAUAUCAGGAGGAACACCAGCGGCGAAGGCGGCGCUCUGGGCCGGAACUGACGCUGAGGAGCGAAAGCUAGGGGAGCGAACAGG
rnacentral:rRNA from 1 species